CCUACGGGAGGCAGCAGUGGGGAAUAUUGGGCAAUGGGCGCAAGCCUGACCCAGCAACGCCGCGUGAAGGAAGAAGGCUUUCGGGUUGUAAACUUCUUUUCUCAGGGACGAAGAAAGUGACGGUACCUGAGGAAUAAGCCACGGCUAACUACGUGCCAGCAGCCGCGGUAAUACGUAGGUGGCAAGCGUUAUCCGGAUUUAUUGGGUGUAAAGGGCGUGUAGGCGGGAGCGCAAGUCAGAUGUGAAAACUCAGGGCUCAACCCUGAGCCUGCAUUUGAAACUGUGUUUCUUGAGUGCUGGGGAGGCAAGCGGAAUUCCGUGUGUAGCGGUGAAAUGCGUAGAUAUACGGAGGAACACCAGUGGCGAAGGCGGAUUGCUGGACAGUAACUGACGCUGAGGCGCGAAAGCGUGGGGAGCAAACAGGAUUAGAUACCCUUGUAGUC
rnacentral:rRNA from 1 species